rnacentral:lncRNA from 1 species
CGAACAUGUUGUCAUCUCCUGCAUUUAAAUGCCCCCUGCUCGCUCCUCUCCACACGUCAUUUAAAUUAGGUCAGACAAGUGUUGGGAAACCAGUUCAGACGCAUUUGGAAAGACAGUAAAAUCCUCUCAGAGAGACGCGGACCACAAAGAUGAGGCAUUUUGAAGCUCACAUUGGCAAACAUGUAUGUUUCUUUAAUCUAAAACUGGACAUUUUACUGGGAGAACAACAUAAGCUUUUUCCUUCUGCUUUCAUUUUGACCUCUGCCUUGAUUCCCCACUCCUGCUGAUGAAGCCAUACUGCAAAGGUGAAUAGACUCAGAGUUUAAUAAAGGCUCCAUCAGGCACAGCGAGUCACAGAUUGCUACUGUAAGAACCCUUAUGAAACCUUUUAUACUCCAGCUUCUUUUUUAGUCGGAGAUUAAAGCAUGGGUGCAUUUUACUGCACUAUCUAACGUAAGCUUAAUGGCAUGGCAUAUAGAAAGGAGAAUGCAAAGUGAGCACAGUGUGGGAAAUAUGUCAAUGCACAUUUUAAAGGUAAAUGAGAAAGCUGGGGGAGCUAAUCACAACCUCAGCAGAAAAAAACGGUUUCAAGCUGCAAACGCAGGAGGAGAGAAAAGAAUAGUGGUUUCAAAGCAAAAGUGUUUUCCUGCUGCCGUAGGAAAUGCCUACUUUGUACUGACUGCAGGUUCACUGCUUUCAAAACUUACUCUAUCUCAAAGAGUCGUUCGCAAAUUCAAUUUUGUGAUACAGAUCUGACCAUUCUGUGCAGCAUUUUAAAUACUUUGGCGAAAAAUAUUAGAGAAUAUUUCUGAAGGCAGCCUGAGGCGUGGAAAAGUAAGCUGCUUAGGACCACCGAGUGGGUAACUCUUUAAUAAGAUGUGCUUCGUUCAUUUAUGGACUCAGUUUGUUUAGUUUGAAAUGCAUCAGAGUCCAUUUGUAGAGUAGUGCUAUUUUAAUUCAUUCAUUUAUUUUUUAAAUAGAAAUAAUCACUGACAAAAACUGAUUAUGUAAAGGUCACCAGCUCACCUUCCUGGGGGCAUUUUUCAACAUUUAAUGUUAUUUGAUGUCACAGUCUGAACUAAAAUUUCUUCAGAGAAAUACUCUCUGUGUGAACGCCAUCUGACAUAGGGUUCAGAAACCUUUUCAAUGACAGGAGCCAUUCUGUUAAUAUGUCAUUAUUUAAUCUCUUAUUCUUUAAUCACUUGGCACUUGGAUCACAUUUAAUCCAUGUAAAAGGCAACUGGUUGGCUCUUGGUUUACAUCUUAUCUAUAGACAAGACCUGGGCAUUCUAUCUGGCCCUUGGAUGUCCCUGCCCAGCCCUUUAUGAGUUCUGUCAAUCAAACAUGCUAUACAAGUAUGUUGCUUUUAUUUUGAAAACCUAGCCGUUGUUUUAUUUUCGUUUAAACGCACAUGCCUACAUCCUAAAUCUGCAUUGGUGAACAGAAACAAGUUUAAACAUCGGCAAAAUAUACGUAGACGCCUUAUAGUUGCCGAGUCCGGUUAUUAAAAACGACUUUAGGUUUGUUUUUCUCAGAAGUCACUUGUAAAACUCGUGAGUUGUGGGUGCGCUUUUUGGGGGGGCUUGCUUUUGACUAGUAGUUGCUUAUUUGGGCUUUCUUUUCUGUAUGUGUGAAGCCCCCUGAUUUGAAGUUGAAGUUAUUGUUGGUUCAGCUCUCCAACACAAUUCAGGUUUCUCAUGUGACCCCAGGUAAAAAUUAAUUGCCCACCCUUGCUAUAGACUGUAUAUAGAGUGGACGCCAUCUGCCCCCUUGCCCAAAAACAGCAACCUCUGGUGACAAGCUGCAGUUCAUAAAUCCCACCUCUUUAGAAAUUUAUUACACAAAAUGUAAUUUUUUACAAAACAUUUUGUGCCUACUGGCGUACAGAGAUUGCAUAGCUCACUCGGGGGAUACGCUGUUUGAGCUGAGCGUCAUCACAGCGUCUCUGGGUGACUCUCCGGCCGAAUGCGUACAAUGCUACUGUCCAAGUGGUGGUUCCUGGAAGUGGAGAAAAAAAACGGAAAUACAAAUGGCAAAUCUGUAUACUGGCUAUAAAAACAGUAUACAUAUAUACAUAUCUAUAUACUGUUGUCCAUAGUAUAUACAUUCUAUGGUUCACAUUUCAUCCAUGAAAAAGGCAACUGGUUGGCACUUGGUUUACAUCUUAUCCAGUCAGUGUAGCGUCCAGAGGGCAGUUAAUUUACAUCUUAUCCAUUGGAGGGGCAUCCAGUCUGAAUCUGGUUUACAUUUCUAAUCAAGUGAUGGACACAUACUAGGGUAUUUCUUCGUGGUUUACACUGCUACAGCAUUGGAGAAGGAUUUUCAAAGUGUUUUAUCAACUGGAGUGGAAUUUCAGAAGGAACCUGUGGAGCGUAUUUGGACAUGAGUGCGCCUCAGUUGCUGCUCCCACUCUGAGAGCACAACUGCUGCCUCAUCAGCUUUACCUGUGUUUUGUUGGUCACAGCUGUGUUUUGAUUGGGUUCAGUGUGUUUCAUGCUGCUGUGCCUUCCUUUCUUUGUCAGAUUCGUCAAACCCUCCCAUGUGUCCCUUUAGUUUUUUUUCUCGAAGCUCUGUUGUGUUUACCCCUUUGUUUUAGGAUUGUUUUUGCCCGCUCACUUUUGUGUUGAAGGAAAAACUUCAUGUUGUCUGCACCUGGUCCUCUAACUAUGUUAAACCGUGACAGACAUCUUCCUCUAAAAAGAGAAAACUGCGCACUAUGCCUGUGUUUGUGUGUUUGUAUACUUGAGUUCUCAUCAAAUCAAUAUUAGACUCAGAGUUUAUUUUAGACAGUAACAGCAUAUCCCCAGUGUCACAGUCAGAGGGGAUGAGGGACUCUGUCAUAGUUUAAUUUGUGAUUUGAAUACACCAGUCUACUAUUUCAUAGAAAUAUGCUACUGUAUGUUUAGCCAUUACCUUGGAUGUUUACUUCAGAGUUUAUGUCUCGUAUUUCUGUUCAGUACACUUGACACUUUGCCCUGUGCUGAUACUCAGCAAUGCUUUGUUUACUGUUAUCCCAGGUUUGGUGCUGUCCAAACUGAUGGAUGCUUCCUGCAGGAGGCCGCUCUUCCUAACAGCCUGCACAUCGACAAACGUCACUGCAUCUUAAAACAAGGACACUUUGAUUGAUCAUUUCCGUGCACCUGCCUUCAUUUGUAAUUACCCUUAUAUUUUUACGUCAUCACCACAUCCUGCUCGCCCACAGGCUGAUGGAUAAUACAUCUCUAUCUUCACUUUCGCAGGCUGUACUGCGGCUAUGCAAUACAAAUUCACUAUUUACUGCUCCUGAUUGAGAGG